AUACGGAGGGAGCAAGCGUUAUUAGGAAUCACUGGGCGUAAAGGACGCGUAGGCGGGUUUGUAAGUCAGGUGAGAAAUCCUACAGCUCAACUGUAGAACUGCACUUGAAACUACAGACCUAGAGUAUGGAAGGGGCAGAUGGAAUUAGUGGUGUAGGGGUAAAAUCCGUAGAUAUCACUAGGAAUACCGAAAGCGAAGGCGAUCUGCUGGGACAUUACUGACGCUGAGGCGUGAAAGCGUGGGGAGCAAACAGGAUUAGAUACCCCAGUAGUCC
rnacentral:rRNA from 1 species